ensembl:lncRNA
GUACAAGCCCUUCAGUCCGAGCUUGCUGACGUUCACUCCGCCCUCUCCACAGCCGUCUCCGACAGAGAACGUCUCUUACAAGAAAUCCGCAAAUACGACCCGUCCUUCACUCUAUGACCUCACACCACUAUUGGGCAAAGGUCAGAGGUCAUGGUUCAAAUGCAAGAACAAAAUCCGUGUGUGUGGAAGGAGUGAGUGUUAACUUCUGCGUCCUCUUCCUGCUCUACUGACAACCAGGUGCCAUGAAGAGCUUUACUUCCUGUUACCUAGUGACCAUUACAGUGUUAUUUUAUAUUGAUUUUCACAUCUUCUUUUACUUUGUUGUAAAUAGACUGGUACAGUUAGUAUAGGCUGCUAAUGAGAUGCAUUACUGCAGAGUGUGUGUUCGGGUGUGUGUUCAUGAGAAGAGUGUGAGAGGAGAGAACACAGCAGUGGACCUCAGUCUUAUUUCAUCUGCACGGUGCGUGCGUGUUUAAUACAUCAGGAAACAGACACAGCUCGUCACGUUACCGAGAACCAGAACGUUUCCUGAGCGCGUACAAAGCGCUGAUAUCGGAGACUCCUUCCUUAUACAGGUGCGUCUCAAAAAUAUUCGAAUAUCGUGGAAAAAUUGGUUUUUCUCCCGCUCCCGUAAGUUAAUGGAUAAAGUGGAACUUUCAUGUACUCCGCAAAGGUGUUUCGAGUCAAUUAGCCGAUUAGAGCUCUUCUCAGGUCGACAUUUCUGUAUUAUAAAUUCUUUAUGCGAAUAUUUUGAGUUGCUGGAUGUUUGAUUUCCGUGAGCUGUAAGCCGUAAUCAUCGAGAUUAAAACAAAAAAAGGUUUGAAAUAUUCCAAUUUACGUGUAAUAAAUGUAGAAUAUACGAAAGUUCCACUUUUUUUAAUGAGUUUACGGGACAAAUACGAACCUUUCUACGACAUUCGAAUUUUUUCGAGAUGCACCCGUAUGUUAAACGAACAUAUCCUUGACGAAAAACGUCACCUUAUCGACGUCUAUUCAUUUAGCCAUGUUAAAUAACAACACUUUCUCUUUUUUUAAUCCGUUUUUUUUUUUUUUAUUUAAUCCGUCUUAGAUCACGUGAGACGCUGCGUGUAAGCUGUUACUAUAGAAUCGAUAAUGUAUAUUAUGCUACGUUCACACGUGUACCGUACAGGAAUUUUAACGUAGCGAGUCGCCAGUCGCUGUACAAUGAAGUCUACUGGUUGCCGUAGGAACAUCGAUCAGUGGGCCUAAUUUUGACAAGAAACCCGUUUUCGCAGUCAGCAUGAGAGAUCACGGAUCACGUGCACACGUGCGUCUUCGCUCCCAUCGGUAGUCGCUGCACCGAGUCGCUCCAAAUUGGCAUAAAGCUAAACUUUUCUCCACUUUGUCGCGUCACUGGACACGCCCACAUCUAGUCGCCUACGGUCACCGGAAGUCGCUAGUAGAAAACGAAAGGUCUCUGGUCACUUUGUCGCCGUACACGUGAGCCUGGCUUACAGUGGGAACUACUGUCAGAGCUGCUGUAAUAGAAAAUGAAUACAUACAGUGUUUGUUCA